rnacentral:rRNA from 1 species
AGAUUGAACGCUGGCGGCAGGCCUAACACAUGCAAGUCGAGCGGCAGCACGGGUGCUUGUACCUGGUGGCGAGCGGCGGACGGGUGAGUAAUGCCUAGGAAUCUGCCUGGUAGUGGGGGAUAACGCUCGGAAACGGACGCUAAUACCGCAUACGUCCUACGGGAGAAAGCAGGGGACCUUCGGGCUUGCGCUAUCAGAUGAGCCUAGGUCGGAUUAGCUAGUUGGUGAGGUAAUGGCUCACCAAGGCGACGAUCCGUAACUGGUCUGAGAGGAUGAUCAGUCACACUGGAACUGAGACACGGUCCAGACUCCUACGGGAGGCAGCAGUGGGGAAUAUGGACAAUGGGCGAAAGCCUGAUCCAGCCAUGCCGCGUGUGUGAAGAAGGUCUUCGGAUUGUAAAGCACUUUAAGUGGAGAAGGCAGUAAAUUAAUACUUUGCUGUUUGACGUUACGACAGAAUAAGCAACCGGCUAACUCUGU